AUAAUACUCUCUCUAUCGGGAAUUACUUGUCAGAUAAAUGGAUAUAUCUAGAAAUAUUUUAGUUCUAAAUACAUCCAUUUUUAUUCAUUUUUGCGACAAGUAAUUCCAGACAGAGGGAGUACAUG
rfam:Triticum urartu cultivar G1812 contig969291, whole genome shotgun sequence.